rnacentral:rRNA from 1 species
CUCGUAGGCGGCCAACUAAGUCAGACGUGAAAUCCCUCGGCUUAACCGGGGAACUGCGUCUGAUACUGGAUGGCUUGAGGUUGGGAGAGGGAUGCGGAAUUCCAGGUGUAGCGGUGAAAUGCGUAGAUAUCUGGAGGAACACCGGUGGCGAAGGCGGCAUCCUGGACCAAAUCUGACGCUGAGGAGCGAAAGCAGGGGAGCAAACG